AUAAUUAGUAUGGUUUCUUAUAUUUGUAGGAAUGAUAUUGCUAAUGUGUAUGUUGAAAAUAUAAUUCAUGAAUUUGGAAGUGAGACAUUUGUUUGGAAGAUUGUAAGUUGGGUUGUGGUGAUUGAAUUUGAAAGAAGGAAAUAAGUUGUUAUUGUUCUUGUUGAAUUUGGAAGGUGUCGGGUGAAGUAGUGUGUUGAUUGAGUCGUUUUGAAUGUUAUGUGAAUUGAAUUUAAUAAAAACGAAAUGUCAUUGAAUUGUAUGACAAAGGUUGUUAAUGUUAGAAUGCGUCUUGAAUUGAUUGUUGAUGUUGUUGGUAUGAUUGAUGGUAUUGUUGUUGAUAGUUUGGCCGAGUUGAAUUCUCGAAUUGUUGAUUGAUGAUUUGGGCCAAGUUAGAUUCUCAGGGAUGGUGUAUUUACAAGGGAGAUCUUUGCCGAAAUUUUGGCAGAUCAUAAGUGAAUUUAUUUGAAAGACUAAGACAAGUGUGUGUAACGAUGAAUCUAAUGAUUGUGUCAAUCUUCUUGAUUGUAGACUAGCAAUAGUGAGCUUGGACAAUUAAGCGUAGCUAAUAGGACGUGGAGCAGGUAUACCCAAAUGAGCAAAAGCUAUUAUAGAAGAUGUUCCAGCGGAGUUGACAAGCUCCAUUUGCUCUGGAGUGUUGCCGGGUCAGAGUACUAUGCUAUGAUGUCUUGUUCGAAGUUAGAGACUUUGCAGACAGAGUCGUGGGUGUAGUAUGUCAAUCUUGAAAGCGGCUUCACCAGCCGAUGUGUCUUUAUAUUUUAUGUUACAAACUCCACGUGACUACAGAUUUUGUUUGACUUGAGAACAACGAAA